AGGGCAAGUCUGGUGCCAGCAGCCGCGGUAAUUCCAGCUCCAAUAGCGUAUAUUAAAGUUGUUGCAGUUAAAAAGCUCGUAGUUGGACUUCAAGAAGCGCAUCUGGGCAACCAGUUUGCCUUCUACCAGCCCUAGGCUGUUACUGUGAGAAAAUUAGAGUGUUUCAAGCAGGCUUUUUGCAGGAAUACAUUAGCAUGGAAUAACGAAUGUGUCUACAAUUUGGUUGAUUGUAGGUUACAAUUAAUAGGGACAGUUGGGGCAUUAGUAUUUAAUAGUCAGAGGUGAAAUUCUUGGAUUUGUUAAAGACUAACGUAUGCGAAAGCAUUUGCCAAGGAUGUUUUCAUUAAUCAAGAACGAAAGAUAGGGGAUCAAAGACGAUCAGAUACCGUCGUAGUCCUAUCUAUAAACUAUGCCGACUAGGGAUUAGUGCGGUCAGUACCGCAUUAGUACCUUAUGAGAAAUCAAAGUCUUUGGGUUCCGGGGGG
rnacentral:rRNA from 1 species